rnacentral:lncRNA from 1 species
AAGAGAGAAAUUAAAUCUGGCAAUGUUCUGGUGUUCCGUUACACAGGAAGUUAAACAUUUGAAGGAUUGCCAGUUGCAAGCAUGGAUCGGGAAUUUAGCACCAAAAUCCGUCUGUCUUAGAUAAAAUUCGUAAUCUGGAAGUUUCCUUCAUUCUCUGCAUGAUGGGCAUAUUCAAUAUCUAGUCUCAUCUGGCCAUCAGAGAUCUGUGAUUUGUUGUGAAAUGUGAAUGAGUUGGAUGAAAUAGGCAUGCUUAUAUUUUCUGCUCAUCAACUCUGUAACUUCAUGGGGGUCGGAAAAUUAUUAUAUAGCAGUUAUGCAAGCAUUACUACUCAUUUCAUUGAAUAAUGAAUGUUGGCUGUGAGAUGCCCAUUGAGAUUUCUCUAUUAUUAUUUGAGAGCUGAAUGGUGGAUUUUAGCAUGUUGCUGACGGAACAGCCAUGAAGAUGAACGAAAUCUAUAUGCCCGUUUGAGAGGACCAUUGAGUUGGAUAUAAAAGUAGUUAGAUAAGGUGGUAUUUUACCAUUUAUAAAUAGCUGUGUCAAGCAACCAUUGCUGAUGGGGUGUGUAAUCGGGCUCAAUCAAGGUCGAUCGUUGAAUGGAGCGUAAUUGAUUGGGACGGUUAACCCGAAAACCACGCGGAAUACAUUGGGAAUGAUGAUUCCCAAUUACCAACAGUAGUUAGGUUUUUCUUUUAUGAGUGUGGUAUCUAUAUGCAUUACCUCUUUCUGCUCCACUUUACUAUCUGAUAGUUUGUUAGAUAUUUACAUUUUCAGGUUUUGAACAAUUUAGGUACUGCAAUUUUUUUAUGGGCUUCUAGUAUUCCUAAUCACGCCUUCAAUAACCAAAUCUCUUAACAUUUACGAAUAGGGGUUUACAUAAGAUGCGUUUCAGCUUAACUUUAGUCUGAGCAUAUGAUGGGUGGGAGAGGUAAGUUUUUUCCUCUAAUUUCAAUAAUUAAAAAGUCUAAGCACAUACCAUCGUAGUUUGAAAGCUAAAGGCCUAUUUAAGUAAUUUGACUUUGUUCCAGAUGGUAAAAAUUUCAAUUUACUACACUACAAUUUAUAUAAUGCUAAACGUUGCUUGAUAAGCAACGCAAUAUAUUUCCGUAAGUUUUCCUUUUCAUUCCAAAUUUCUUGACUACAUUUUAGCACGCUAAUGAUACAAUGCAUCUCUAAACCUGGCAUGUUCCUGGAUUACACUUCAGUUUGUUAACAACUGGUUGUGGUACAACACAAGGUUGUAAGGAAUGGGUAAUGAAAGCUUUCAUUGAUCCUUGCAACUGUUUUUUAUCAGAUGGAUAGCCAACUCAAUGGGAAUUCUGCUUCAAGAAUUGAUUAAUUUGACUAAAUGAAAGGUUUUAUAGGUGAGGAUCGAAUACCGCUGCCCUUUACUUAAUCGACAGGGAUUAACCUUAUCAACUGGUUGAAAAAGUGGGACAAAGAUGUUAACUUUUUCGUCUCUGCCGAUGAAGCUUGUGUGUGUCAUCAAGAAUUCGUUGGAUUUUCAUUGUGCCAUGAAGUUUCAGGGCCGUGUGACCAGAUCCUUGCUUUGAACGAAAGUUUCUGACAAAAUCAGGAAAAGUCGGUCCUUCUUCAAAUUAAUAAAGUCAAAUAAGACUAAAACUCCUGGUUCAAUUAUUUGGACACUUAACAGAUUGAUAUGCCUCUAAAAAAAGAAGCUACCCAAGAAUCUAAACCUUAUUGGAUGUAUUAAGUCUGACAAUAGUUGGACUCCUGACUGUUGGCAAAUCUACCUUUUUCAGUGUGCUAACAAAAAGUGCAGGACCUGCAGAGAAUUUCCCACUUUUCACCAUUGAUCUGAAUGAAAAUAAGUGUUCUUUUAGUGUUUAUAAACAAAACUUUUGGUUACUGUCAUAUUAAAUUUCCGGUCUAGUGUUCAAAUAAGGUAGCAGUUCCUGGUGAAAGGUUUGAUUGGUUGCUUCAGCAUUAUAAACCCUCAAAGUAAAGUUUGAAGAAUCAUAUUCAUCCAUUGUAUUCUUAAUUGUAUUUCACUUCAACACAGUCCCAAAUUCACUAUUUACUGGAUCAGAAGCUCAUACAGCUGGCAGCAACAGAAAUUAUGUUCAUACUAAAAGAAGUCUUUCUUAAGUGUUAUAUUUACAAAACAUGCAUGACAGUGGAUGUAAUGAAUAUUUGAUAAACAUACCAUAAAUUUCAGAUAAAUAAUCCUUCAAAAUA